CCCUGUGCGGAUGACGGUACCGGCAUAAGAAGCACCGGCUAACUACGUGCCAGCAGCCGCGGUAAUACGUAGGGUGCGAGCGUUAAUCGGAAUUACUGGGCGUAAAGCGUGCGCAGGCGGUUUUGUAAGACAGGCGUGAAAUCCCCGGGCUCAACCUGGGAACUGCGCUUGUGACUGCAAGGCUAGAGUACGGCAGAGGGGGGUGGAAUUCCACGUGUAGCAGUGAAAUGCGUAGAGAUGUGGAGGAACACCAAUGGCGAAGGCAGCCCCCUGGGUCGAUACUGACGCUCAUGCACGAAAGCGUGGGUAGCAAACAGGAUUAGAUACCCUGGUAGUCCACGCCCUAAACGAUGUCAACUAGGUGUUGGGUGGGUAAAACCAUUUAGUACCGUAGCUAACGCGUGAAGUUGACCGCCUGGGGAGUACGGCCGCAAGGUUAAAACUCAAAGGAAUUGACGGG
rnacentral:rRNA from 1 species